UAUGCUUUCCACAUGUGUUUAGUAUUAUCGGUGUUUUUACAAUAAUAACUGUGGUCUUGAAAGGGACUAAAAUUAAUUAAAAUGCCUGGCUGGAGAGAACCUCCUUGGGGUAAGUGCAGGGGGUGUGGGCAGUCAUCUUGUCCAUUCCCCUGUCUCUGGUUGAGUCUAUACCCCCGUUGGCCCAAUCAGCCGGUCUUAGAAGAUGCCAGUGCCGGAACAUCUGCAGUCUUAGAGGUUAAAAUUCUUUUAGGGUAAUGUUUCUUGGUAUUUAAACUACAGUAAGAAAGGAAGAGCAAACACUUAGAUGUUGUGUUUGCCAUUUGCAGAACUGCACUGAGAAAGCCCCCACUGGUUGUAUUUAUCAAAGUCUGCUGCGUGCCCUCAUCCAAAGACCCCGUCUGAGAGCAACCCUUGGUUCACAGAUGAACAAUUUGGCUCUUGAUUUAGGGCAGGGUUUCUCAAGCUCAUUGCAGCCCUGUUGACAUUUGGAGCUGAAUCAUUCUUUGUGGGCGGGGGCUGUUCUGUGCACUGUAGGAUGUUUAGCAGUGCCCUUGACCUCUACCCACCAGAUGCCAGUAGCAUUCCUACCCACAAGUGUAAAAACCAAAAAUGUCCUCAGACAUUGCCAGGUAUCCCCUGGAGAACCAAAUCGCCUCCAGUUGAGAACCACUGAUUUAGGGCAAGGCUCUCUGGCAUCCCAACCACCUUCCCCCAUUCCCACCCACCUGCUCCUCUCCUCCAGGGAAGCAGUGCUCAUCUAGGUUGUCAUGACAUGCAAAUGUGUCACCAUCACACAGGGGAACAAGUGACGGGCUGAUGAAUAACACCCUGAGGUUUGGGAGUGAUUCACUUUUUAAAAACAAAUCAGAACAGGUACUAACCUAGCAACAUCCCUUUCACUCCCUUACAGUCCAAGAUGAUUUUCCGAGUGGCCAGAGUUGCCCAUCGCUCCUAGCCUGUCUCAUGGAGGUCACAGCCAGGACGAGGUUAGCCGCUUUUGCUCAUUAGCUGAAAACUGUAACCACUGAAAGUUCGCUGUUUCGAUUCUGAGCAAGAUGCUAUGGCAGAAACAGGACCAUGAUGAACUACUUAGAAAAAUACAUAAGGCCAUACCCACGCCAGAGACCUCACCAGGUGCACAUAUUUCCUGCUGCUGAAUGGCUUAGACUGGGAUUUGCGAGGAAUCACGAAGUUCAAGACCUCUGCCUUUCUUUUAGAAGAAGGCACCAGCUGGUUCUCCAAUGUUGAAGGUCUUCUCCAGAGAUGAACUCUGAAAGCCACAUGUUGAGAUGGCCUCAUUACAGAUGGAGAGCGCCUGAACCCCCAAGUUAAGGAACAGCAGAAGAGAGUUGCCCUGGAAAAUCAUCUGACCCACAUUGGACUUUAUUGAAAGAGAAAACAAGGUCAUUUGUAUCAGAAAUGAUGGCAGAAGAGGCUUAAAAAUUUGGCAUUGUCACUGAGAAGAAUGAAGGAUGGAGCUGAUUAGAAAAUUGCAGGAUUGCUGAGCACUGUGAGAGGUUUGUCUGAAACUGGCUGUGAGCAGACUAGCGGUAUGUGGUCACUCUCAUGUGGGAGGGAAGCAGACCUUUUGUUGGCCUGGUCCGUAGGUGCGGUUGGAAGUGGAAUGAUGGGAAGCACUGUUGGAGUUAUUGGCAUAAGAAUGACCAUGGGCAAAUGGGCUCGGUUGGGAAGAAAAUGACCCUAGGAGUGAGGUGGCAAACUGAAACAAAAGGGAGGGGUCCAGAAUGUGGAGAUGAUGAUGAGGUGAGAGAAUGGGCAAAGAGAAAAAGCUGGAAAGAUAGGACAUUGUGUCAGAGACCUCAGGUUUUAAAAGGUCAGAGGUAGGACUAUUUUGGGUGAUGAAAAAUCCAAGACGUGUCACGAGAGUGAGUUGGGAAGAACAUAGCCAGCGAAAAGUAUUCAAGUAACGGUCAAGGAACCAGAAAGUCUUAGUGUUCAUUGGACACUGACCCCUUCUAGGAUGGUUGCAGAGGUUGGUUUCUAAAGCAACUGUGAGGCAGCAAGUGUGAGAUGGAAGAACCCGAGAGCUCAAAGAGAUAACACUUAUUUUAGGGAUGAAGACUAACCCAACUCUCAAGGUAGAAUUCUUGAUAAACACGGUCUCCUAGGCAAAGCAGAUGAAGGGCAGGGGGGGUCCGUUCCUCUUUGUUUUAUUACCAAGUUCUGCUAGGCCUGAACUGGUGGAACUCGGCUUAUUUUAACAGUGAAGGGGCAAAGUGAGUUAUUUUCAGUAUACAGAGAAGUGGAAACUUCGACAAGAAGAGUGUCAAUGACUUGCCCAAAAUGACACCACCAAAGUGCUGACCUCUGUCACUUCAUCUCCCUCUUCCUUCCCCUUGGCUGCUUUCCUGCGUGUAACCUAUUACAGCAGAGCCCGAUCAGCAUGGGCCUCCCUGUUGCGUGCCCUCUGGAGAUUUGGCAUUUAGAUUUGAUACAGGGAGGUGGAGGGGAAUUUUCCCACUUGGCAGAAUGUGUGAAAAUCAGGAGGGAAUGUUAUUCCUGCACAGCAACAAGCAGUAUCAAAUCAGUACUUCUUUCUUUCAUCGGACUCUGUUGCUAUUUAUGUAGAUUUAACAGUUCCAUAACAAUACCUUUUGCUUGGAAAGGUCUUUCUCUUACCAAAAAUGCAAAAAGA